rnacentral:rRNA from 1 species
AGAGUUUGAUCAUGGCUCAGGACGAACGCUGGCGGCAUGCCUAAGACAUGCAAGUCGAACGGAAGGGCCCAUUGAUAAUUAAUGAAAGUUGCGUGCUUGCACAAUGCUGGAUUUGGUUUGAUUUGGAUUUUCCCUUUAGUGGCAGACGGGUGAGUAACACGUGGGUAAUCUACCUCAGAGACUGGGAUAACGUUCGGAAACGAUCGCUAAUACCGG